rnacentral:rRNA from 1 species
AACGAACGCUGGCGGCAGGCUUAACACAUGCAAGUCGAACGGUUGUAGCAAUACAGCAGUGGCAGACGGGUGAGUAACACGUGGGAACCUUCCUAGGGGUACGGAACAACUCAGGGAAACUUGAGCUAAUACCGUAUACGUCCGUGAGGAGAAAGAUUUAUCGCCCUUAGACGGGCCCGCGUCGGAUUAGCUAGUUGGUGGGGUAACGGCCUACCAAGGCGACGAUCCGUAGCUGAUCUUAGAGGAUGAUCAGCCACACUGGGACUGAGACACGGCCCAGACUCCUACGGGAGGCAGCAGUGGGGAAUCUUGGACAAUGGGCGCAAGCCUGAUCCAGCCAUGCCGCGUGAGUGAAGAAGGUCUUCGGAUUGUAAAGCUCUUUCGGCCGGGAAGAAAUCGCAUAGGCUAAUACCUGUGUGGAUGACGGUACCGGAAUAAGAAGC